AUCGGCCUGGAGGCUCCCUGGCCUUCCUGCCGGGGUGGAAACGGGUGUCUGCUACCGGGGUUCGUGUGGAGCAGGAAGGGGGAAGGCGACGAGGUGGAAAAGACCGCUGGGCGCCCCGAGGAGGCGGAGCUGCUGGGAGGGGCCUCCCUCCGCCCGAUCCUGUUUAAUCUCAAACUCUAGGCCCUGGGGACGCGCCACCCUUCCCGCCGAGGAGACUGGGUUUUCCUCCCAGGGUUCUCCAAGCAAAGCCUGUCUGUGUUCCAGGCUGGUGCUGACUAGAGGAGGCAAAGCCAAAAUUAGCCCCAGGCCCUCCCUCAAGUAGUGAAGGGGCCACCGGGCCUCCCCUCAACCCGUAGGGGGUCACGGGCCCCGCCCCGCUCCCGGUCAAGACCCUGACAUUGCGGAGGGUCAGGAGGGGGGAGCGAGGAUCCGGGGCCUGGCACCCUGGGUGGGGCACCGUCCCCAGGGAGGGUUGGGCAGGCGCCCCCAGCCUCCAGCCAUCCCGCCCGCUGUGGGCGCCCCGGUGGCCGAGGAGCCAGGAGCGGCUCCCGGGGCUGUGCGCGGAGAACCCGGAAGAAGCGGAGGAGCCCCGGGCGGCGCUGAGCUGUGUCCCUGCCUGAGGGGGGCCCCAGCCCUGAGCCCGCAGCUCCAGAGGCUCCUGGGCCCUCCCCUUCUUCCCAGCACCGUCCCAGGGGGAAGGUAGCCCCCGGCGCAGGCGGGACCCUCGGCAGUCUGGCCCAAGAAACGGGGACCCUGUGGCUUCCUGUGUCUGGUGCCAUCAGGAAGUAGCCCCGAGCCAGAGCACAAAGGGCCUUUGUCCUGCCUGCCCCGCCCAGCGAGACCUCGGGCCCAGCCAGGGCUGGGGGCUGGGGGCUGGGUACCCUCUGGCCGGCUCUGCCACCAGCCGCCAGCCUGGUCCCCGGAGAGCCACACCCCCUCCCCUCCACGGUCCCCACCCGGCUGCCAUGACAAUGUCCUACCCAGCAGGAGGACCAGGCCGGAACCUUUGGCAGCCACCAGUUCCUGGAGAUUCCGACACCAAGUGCAGCCACUGUGCGGGGCCGGGUGUGGAGUGGCCCCACACCGACCAGCUCACGCCAGCUGGCAGAGCCACUGGGCCCCCUCCGUGGAGGAGGAGAGAGGCCUCGGGCGCCACGCGCUGUGCCCCAGGGCCACUCACUUCCUUGGUAGGUGGGGGAUGCCGGCCUGGGCCUCCCGAGACUUGAGCCCUGCCCCUGCCCUUGCCCCCAGAGAGACCUGUGCCAGCGAGCGUCCCAGGCCUCCCCUCCCUGAGCCUUGCACCCGGGCGGUGCGGGGGCCCUGCUGCACCCCAGAGCGGGCAUCAGCCCUCAGCCACUCCGUUAGCAAUCCUCCCCCCAGCUCAGGGCCUCAGAACUGGCCAUCCACGGAGCUCAGAGGCACCCGAGGGCCCUGGGGCCUGGGUAGGGACUGGCCAGCUCGGGGUCCUCCAGCAGCCAUACCCAGGUUCAUCCAGGAUGAAAGCAGGGCAGUGGGAACCACGUGAUUGGUUUAAAAGCAGGUGAGGGGCCGGGCAUGGUGGCUCAUGCCUGUAAUCCUGGCACUUUUGGAGGCCAAGGCAGGCGGAUCACCCGAGGUCAGGAGUUUGAGACUAGCCUGGCCAACACGGCAAAACCCCUGUCUCUACUAAAAAUACAAAAAUUAGCUGGGCAUGGUAGUGCACACCUGUAGUCCCAGCUACUCUGAUGGCUGAGACAGGAGAAUCACUUGAACCCGGGAGGUGGUGGCUGCAGUGAGCCGAGAUCGCACCACUGCACUCCAGCCUGGGCAACAGAGCCAGACUCCAUUUAAAAAAAGAAAAGCAGGUGAGGACGUGUGAGCAAGUCUGGGCCAUGCUGCCAAGCUCCCGCUUCUCCGAGCAGCUCCACACAAGGAGCAGAGGCAGCUCCAGUUCCACAGCCAGACACAGUCAUUUUCCCUCUACUCAGGAAUUAGGCAGGAUGGUGUGGGGCCUGAGUGUCACCAUGAAGCCGGGAAGCAGGUGUUCAGCCAGACGCAAAUAUUCCUCCUCAAAGCCAGGGGAGCGGCCACAGUGGAUUUUAUUAUGGGGCGACGGGGGCACGCCCAGUGCCCCGCCACUCUCCAUGUCCACAGCAGCGAGGGUGGAGGGCCCUGUGCUGUGCAGGGCAGAGCUCGGCUGCACCUGGGCCAGGACACAGCUGCCCAGGUGGGAGGAACCGUGGACGGGGCUGGGGCCUUCCUCGUCCCAGGGCUGGUGAGCUGCUCGCUCACUGUUUCUCAGUUCCAGGUAGACACAGUUUAUAAUUCUGCAGAAAACUCUGGGGCCUUUUGCCUUUGUGUUUUCUUUUUUGAGACAGGGUCUGACUCUGUGGCCCAGGCUGGAGUGCGGUGGUGCGAUCACGGUUCACCGAAGCCUCCACCUCCCAGGCUCAGCAAUCCUCCCACAGGUGGGCCCACAGGUGUGCACCACCACAGCCAGCUAAGUUUUAAAUUUUUUGUAGAGACGGGGUCUCACCAUGUUGCCCAGGCUGGUCUCAAACUCCUGGGCUCAGUUGAUCCGCCCGCCUCGGCCUCCCAAAGUGCUGGGAUUACAGGCGUGAGCCACCGCACCCGGAUGGUGUUUUACCACUGAGGUCAGAGGGCAGACGUUGCUCCAAGCGUUUCGUCUGCGGGUGGAGCUUUGGAACUGAUGGAGAAGGCAGAGUCCUGACCAGGGGCCGCCAUCAGAGCGCAGGGACGGUCGGGGGGGAUGCGCAGGGAGGAGGGAAGGGAAGGAAGGAGGUGCCAAGCCCUCCGCUCAGUGGAGGUCAGUGGAGGUUUGCUUCCUGCUCACACUGGGCCUGAUUGGGUCGGAGGGCACGCGGGGGCCGCUGUCUGUCCUCCGUGGGGCCUUGGCUUGUGUCCAAGGGAGGGAGACAGUAGAGGGACCCACGGCUCUGUGAGGCGUUCCCUGGCAUGACCUCACCUGUGUGCUCUCUCUCCCUGUCUCAGUCAGAGCUGAACCCAGGCUCCUGUGGACCAAGAGGGGGUCCAGGAAGAACUGCUCCUGGGACCCGGACAGAGCGGAGGCCGUGUGCACGAGCAGCGUGGACCAGAGGGGCCUCGGGGGCCACCUGCUCCGUCCGACCAGGCACCAGUCCUUCCAGACUCGCCUGAGGAUGCCCGUGGGCCCCAGCGACACCUGGGGUGCCCCCCACACCCCUGCACCUACCUGAGACCAAGGGUGGUGGUGGGGCUGUGUGCCUGAGUCCUGGCCCUCCCAGGGCCACCCUCAGGAGCGGCUGCACAGGCUCUGGCUGGCCGGGGCUCAGAGCAGCCCACGGAGCCAGGCCCAUCCUGGGAGGCUCAGGGCUGCAGCCCAUGGACUCAUGAGGGGGGCUUCUGGGGUCUAAGGCCAGAAGUGACCUUUCUUCUCACGGAGGCACCCCCACAUCACAGGCCCCAAGCUCCCACCAGGAGUCCCCAGGCAGCAGGUUUUCCACCACAGCCGGGAAGAGCCCCGCCUUCACCACCCACCACCAGCCAAUCCCGAGACCACCGAAGCCCCCAGACCGGGCCCUUUGCCCCUCCUGCCCCCCGGCUCUCCCUACUGCCCAGAGCCUCCGCCAGCACCCAGGGACCCACGUCCACCUCCCAGAGCGGCCCUGCCCAGGGUCCUUCCCUGCCCUCCACGAUUCUCCGUGGCCCUUGGAGAAAGAGCAGCUUCUCCCCAGGCUCUGCCCCCAGCCCUUCCACCCCAGAGCCUCUGCCCAGACGUCCCGUCCCAUCCCGGGGGGCUGUCACGCUUCCGCCCCACCUCUCGCCCAUUCCCGGACAGUCACAGCCGUGGAACAACGCAGCGUGUGGACACAGCCCCAGGGAAGCUUGACUCUGCCUGGUCCCCAUGGCGUGCGGUGGCUCACCAGCCGCCCCCAUCGCUCCAUGAAAUCUGACUACACCUGUCCCAAAAAUCAACCAGCUCCCAGGCAGGUCCCGCCGUGCAGGGGGCCAAGGGCCACACCUGGGACCAGUGAGUGAGGCGGCGUGCGGGUAGUGGGGGUGUGAGCCCGAGACGGGGGUCCAGCCUUCUCCCACUUGGAUGCCAACAGCAGACUCUGGAUUUGGAGGUGUGGGCGGUGCCUUAGUCUCCCCAGAAGACAAGAGCCCACCCGCCGGGUGUGUCCUGACCCCACCCCCACCUGCCCCACACAGACACCUGAGUGGGCAUCAGAGUGGGCCGGGCCCUGACUGUCCGGGGGAGGGACUGUUGGGGCAAGGGCAGUGGGUCAGAGGUCACCGGUGCCCCCAGGACCAGUUUCCAGCGAGAAGAGAGCCAGGAGCCCCGGGCACAGGCCCACGGUGAUGAGGCUCCUGACCGAGCUCCCAGAGCUCAUUAUGGAAAACCGUGGGGUCCGCUGGGACCUCUCUGCUGGUCGGGCUAAUUACAGACCGUUUGUCGUUUCAUUAUGGGCUCUUCCUCUGGGAGAUGCGAGAAGCAAACACUUUGCCAUGGGAGGGGCGCUUCCCGGACCGGGCGGGGGCCCUGCCCUCCCCACCCCCAGACCCCUGGUCCCCCAGGCCUUCCAAGCUCCCAAAGAAAACUUGAACCCCCACUCCAGGGGCUCCAAAGUAACCUCCAGAGCCCAGAUGGGGAUGUUCCGGGAGCUGCUGGGGCCUCUCAGCUGUCCCUGCCUCGCAGGGAGGCUCAGGAAGGCACCCACACCCCUCCCUCAUUCCCCCAGCUGUGGGUCUGUGGGGUCUCGGAGCCUCUUGCCCAUUGGGGUGGGACUGGGGGCACGUAGCUCCUCCGAGCCCCUGGCGAGGAGACCGAUCCUGAGACCCACCUGGGCCUACGGGGGGUCCCUUCAUUGCUCCAAAAUUAAGGGCUGCGGGCCUGGAGCAAAGACAGGCAGGUAUGGCCCCUGCCCUCUGUCCAUGAGAGGCCUCAGCCCCAUGGGACAGGGCACCACCGCUGCAGGGAGGCGGCGGGCAGGUUGUGACCCCUCACCCUGGGGCCACCCUACCCGCUUCUAAGGCAGCCUGGGAAGGAGCCCUGCGGAGCUGGGGGGUGGGGAGGCAGAGGUGGAGAGGCGAGAGUUGCCCGCGGCUGCCCCUACCCCUGCCCAUGUCGCCCACACUCCACACGGGCCCCACAGAAGCCUUCCCAUCCUGGCUUUUGUUCAACCUCGGUGGGCGGCAAGGUGGGGGCGGGACGGAGUCUGCGGGGCCUGCGGGGCCCGGGCCUGCGUCACCGUCACUGGCCCGCCUCCCGCCCGGCCUAUGGGAGCCCAGGGGACACACCUGUCGGGGGCCAGGAGCGGAGAUUGGCCAGCGGGAGCUCGCACCUGUGUGGGGCGGGGAGCACUGCUCCUUGUAAGGCGAGCCCCCGCCGAGCCGGCUCUUCCCUCCCGAGGCCCCCACCUCGCCACCGCCUCCCAUUGUCCCGUCGCCCUCGAAACUCUCCCAGAGACGGGCGAGUUGUCCACCUGUGCAGGUCUGAACUGACUUCCUGUGCCAGGGCCUCGCCUGAGCGGGGGCAGGAAGCUCACCCUUGCAGGUCUCCCCGCGCCAACGGACGCCCUGAGGCCUGACCCUGGCUGAGGCAGAGCACCCAGCUCCGUGGACCGGGACGGACGGGCUCAGGUGCCCCCCAUUCCUUCCGAAGCCGGUUCACACCCACCCGGGCCUGGCACAGGGGAGGCGCUGGCUGCAGGGUCGGGGCGGGAGCAGCCUCAACCCGGCUCCUGGGCCGCGGCCGCAGCAGUGGAACCUGUCGGGGCAGCAGGCCUUCUAGAAAGUUCUCUCCAGAAGCAGCCACCGCCGUCCUGAGGCACUUUGUGCGGAGACGGGAAGCUGUCGCCUCAGAGGUGGGUGCGUAGAAGGGUUUGGCCGGGUGCGAGGAUGACCGCGUCUCCCUUGGGCUCUGGAGUCUGCGGUGGGAAGGGCUUGGUUUCAGCACCCUCUGGUCAGAGGCCGGCCGAGCCCAUGGGCGGUGAGGUUGGUGCCUGGGGUCGUGGCUGGUCUGGUACAGGUGGGGCUCAGCCCGGAGAAGCUGGAGCCGGUUCCCAGGCCCCGCGCUAUGACUGGGGUGGGGGCAACGUCUCUCGUGAGGUUUUUUACUUAAAUGUGAAACGGCUCAGUACGGUGGCCGCAGCCGGGAACAAGGUCCGACCCACCGAGGCCCAGCCUUGAACUUGCCGCGGGGGCACCUGAACACGGUUUUACAGCCCGGAUCACUGGCUUUCUUGAAGUUUGGGAACUGAUUGAUCAUGGUGGCGGGAGGUAAGGUUCAUUGUUCUUGAUGAACAAAAUUCUUAGGGCGUGAAGAGCCGAUGCUUUAAUUAACCCCCCGGGAGCGUCUCAGGCCUCCCCCCGGGAGCGUCUCAGGCCCCGUUUACGCUGAGUGUCUGGGGAAAGACGUGGUUUGGUUUUGUUUUUCUAGUAACCCAGAUGAAAUGUUUAAAAGCAUGGUUGGCAGCACAUUGAAUUUGGCAAAAUUAAGGUUUGCAUUUGUGAAAAUGCGGAUGCAGUUUGCGGUUCUUUUCAGACAUUUUGGUAAUUUGCAAAUACUUAUUUGCGAAACGAGUUUGUCAGAACAUUUUUUAGUAUCUAGAGGAAGAUGAGAUGGGCCGAGGAGGUCGCGCACCCCUGGAUCCCUGGAGGAGCUGGUGUGUUCUCUGUGGGGCGGGUGGACGUGGCCCGGACACACGGGCCGUGCUCACAGCCGGCCUGCGAGGGCUGCAAAUCCACGCCCGCCGUGUGGGUGAAAUGGCGGCUUUGCCUCCCAGACGCGUAGCUCCGGCGACGCAGAGGGAAGAACCUGAGUGCCCGCCAGGCCGAGCUCCGCACCCCACCCCCCGGCAGCCUCUGACUCCCGGCUCGGCUCCCGCGGUCGGGGAGGGUUGGAUUUCACACUUUGUUCUCGAGGCCGCACCAUUGAUUAAGCCCGUCGGGCAGGUUAACCAACAAGUUAGGUUUUCACGCCGGGAUCACAUUCCUCGCCGGGCGCUCCCACCCCACCCCAGCCUGUGCAGGUGGGACCCGGCCAGGCAGGCGGGCAGGGCGGCCAGGUGCGCCGAGGGGCGCCUCCACGGGGAGUGUGCUCCGCAGAGAACCCCUUGCUGGGGCGGCUCUGGGCCUCCUGACUCACUCCUGGAUUUUCCCAAGCUGAGUCUGGCCCCGCGGUGAUGAUUAACCCAACACCUCAACCGGCACCGCCACGCUAGCUCCACUUCCCGGCGACGGUUGACAAGAAAGCGCCGCGUGGGGCUCUCGGAAAACAGGGAAGCUUCUGCACUCAGGAGGCGCCUGGGAAUCCUGCCCUGGAACUUAGGAAGGAGGCUUCUCCCACCUGCCUGCCACACGGGUCUGUCCCUGGGUCCCAGCCUCUGCCGUGUGCCCCUCAGCCUCCCGGGUGAGAACGCAAUGACUGAUGAGCCUGGGGUGGCCAGGCCAGCUCUGGCCCUGUGGGGUUCCUGAGAAGGCUGGCCCUGGGUGGCCAAGGGCCUGGGGACACUGGCCCCGGGCCCUGAACCUGGCAGUGGGAGGCCGGCCCGUCCGCCGGGUGGGCUGGGAACUGUGUUUGGCCCCAGCUGCAAGGGACGAGUGCCGGGCACCUGCUGCCCUCCCCACGUGACCUGGCAGCCAGGAAUGGAGCUGAAAUUCAACUCUGCUCUGAACGGGAAGUCUUAGUUUCCUUUAGCUCAGAAAACAGGUGAAAUUGUGUUCCUGAAGCACUGAUUUGAUGGGAUUUGAUGGCAUUGGUGGCGAAGGCCUGUGAGGUGAUGGAAAGGGAAAGCCGGGUGCCCUGGAGCCUGACAGGCUGGGGCCAGGGCAGGGGACCUGGUGUGGGGUCUCCGGAGAGGGUCCAGGCGUGAGGGAAGCUGGGUCAGGACCUCGGAGACGUGGCCUUUGGAGGAGGAGACUGGAACCGGGUGGACCCGGCAGCAGGCGGGGGCGGGCGGACACGACCUUUGUUGUGGUCGGCGGGCAGACAGGGGAAUCGGCACAGGGCCUGCGCCCCACCUACAGCCUCUGUGGGUGGAAGGUGCCAGAAAACUUGAAGAGUGGCUCUGGCCAGCUCUCUGGGCCCAGUUGGCACCAGGUGGUUGCAGAGAAAGGGUGGGAAGGAGGACAGGAAGGACGGCGUGUCCAGCGGGCGGGGAGCCUUGGUCUGGCCUGAGGGCUGAACCUCCCUCGGGUCCUGAGUGUGCCUGGAGUAGAAGCCUAGGGUCUCUGGGCUCCAGGCAGGGCCCUGAGCAAGGAGGGGCCACAGGGCUGCCCACUUCCUCCUGCCCCCCUGCAGAGGCGGCUCAGCCCUCGCGGCGUCUGAGGCUUGACUGCCUGUGUCUGUGUUUGUGGCCGGUCUGCCUCUGUGCCUGGGUCAGACCCCAGACCAGCAGACACACAAACCGCAGGGACGGCUGGGCAGGGUCAGGAGCCUGCCCCGCCCGCACCCCCACCCACACCCCCACCCCCACCCCCGCCUGCACCCCCUGCCCUCAGACGCUGUGCAGUGAGCGGGGCAGCAUGGGAGAGGGGUCUCCAGGUGGCGGGGACCGUUCUGUCUCGAGAGCCUCGCAGACACCGGGCCUUUGAGAAGAGAAGGGGCUGGGCAGGGAAGCAGCUCCUGGAACACCAUCCUGGAGACAGAGGCCCUUGUCCCCUGCCUCAGACAAGGCAGCACGUGGGGCCCGGGGGGCUGGGGCUGCUGUCCAGGCCUUCCUAUGGGACCACCCAGAGGGAAGGUCCCCCGCAGAGGGGUGGGGGCAGAGGGCCGAGCGGGGCGGGCAGAGGGCCCGUGUCAGCCCCACUCCGACCUAGUCCUCGGCCGUCUGGCCAGGACACUUCGGCCCCCCAGGUGCCCACCCCAGGACCCAAAGCUGGUGGCUGCUGGACUCGGCAGGGCUGGCGGGUGGGGCUCACCCGGGCCCCUGCCCUCCGGCGAUGCUGUCCUCAGUGCCCCAGGAGGACGAGGCCCCCCAGCUACUGAGCUUCCCAGCGAGUCCCAUGCAACCCUCAGCCGGGCGGCCCCCGGACCCAGCUCGGGCAGCCGUGGCCAUCUUACUGGGCAGCAUUGGAUGGAGUCAGGUCUCUAAUACUGCCUGGUAAUGAUGACGGCGGAGCCCUGCACGCAGCGACCGGCCGACCCCGUCCCGGCCCCCAGGGCCUCCCGCCGAGCCCCACACUCCCCUCCCACACAGCCCGCUCACCGGACCCCACCCCGUCCGGGCCAGAUGGCUCUGGGGAGAGUGACGGGGGGACGUGACCUUCGGAAGGGGGCUGGGGCGCCCCCCACCAGCAUCUCAGAGACCCCGGAAUGCAAGGCCUCCUGCAGCUGCACCCAGGGCGCCCCACAGUGAUCUGGGGAUUAGGACGCUCAGGUGUCCGGGCCCUGCCCACAGCGCCUGGGCGGGAGCUGCUGUCACACCCAGCAGGUGCGGGCCGAGCAGGACCCAACAGAGGGCUCAGGAGGGCAAGGCCCAACCGGGAGCCACGUGGAACCCAGAGGAAGCCGCCCCACCCAGCUUGGCCACAGCCAUCUUCCCUCCUGCCGGACAGGGUGGGCCGGCCACCGAGCAGACCAGUGCCCCCGCCUUGGUCCCGGGUCAGCAGCCCCAGGGUCCCCUUGCCCUGGAGGAAGCAGGGAGGGUGGGCCUGUGUGCAGUCUCAGGGCCCCCAAGCCCCUCUCCGCCAGCCCUGUCCGGUCCCGGCACCACCCCUGGCUGCUCACCGCUCCGGUUCUUCCCUGGGCUUCCACAGCAGCCCCUGCCUGCCUGGCGGGACCCCACGUCCCUCCCGGGCCCCUGUGAGCAUCUUACCGGACAGUGCUGGAUUUCCCAGCUUGACUCUAACACUGUCUGGUAACGAUGUUCAAAGGUGACCCGCCGCUCGCCGGGGACACCACCGAGGCACAUCCGGAGCUCCUACUCCAGGGAUGGGCUGGGGCGGAGGGCCGAGCGGGGCCAGCAGACGGGUGAGGGCGGAGGGCCGAGCGGGGCCAGCAGACGGGUGAGGGCGGAGGGCCGAGCGGGGCCAGCAGACGGGUGAGGGCGGAGGGCUGAGCGGGCGGCAGAGGGCCUGUGUCAGCUCCGAAGUCCAGCCCCCAGGGGAGGGGCCGGCCUCUGCCGGGGGUGCCCCCGGGGUCACUCACGCCCAGGCUGGGUCUGACACCUUGAGGACCCCUUGGUGCCUCCACAGGUGGCCUGGAGGGCAUCCUGCUCCCCCUCCCGGAGCCGCUGUGCCUCCCCCACCCAACCUCCCAGGCUGGGUUUUAGGGUGACCUGGCUCCAGGAAAGGCCAUAGGGCUGGGAUGCCAGGGCUGGAGAGGGAAGAGCAACAGUGGCCUCUCUCACGUGGUCCGGGCUCCGUGGAGGGUCUGCUGGGGGCGCAGGAAGGACAAGUCAACAAGAACAGGAACUUUGUCCAAAACCCACCAGGCCAGGAUGACCCAUUGUUUCAUCUUUUCCAUCUGCAACCAGGGCGCCUGGGACCGCACCCCCACACAAGGCCCCAGCCUGGGGAGGGGGCAGCCACCGGGGAGAGGCUGCCCUUCACUGUUACUCAUUAACCCGACCGAGCUUCAGGAAGCCAGCGAGGGGCUGCAGGGAACCUUUGCCAAGAGCAGGGCCUGGGUGACCAGGUGGCUCCCGGGUACCCCCACACAGCCAGGCUGGGCUGGGACCAGGUGCUGGGAUGGGGGCUGUCAGGGAAGUGCCUCGGGGGCUCGUUCUGCAGACCCAGGAGGGAUCAGGGCAGCUGCAGGAGGUGGCAGGAGCCGCCCCCGGGGCCUUCCCUUCACAGGCCCCGCAGACACCAGCCCAGGACCCGGAGGCCACCCACACCACCGCCGGCCGAUGGGCGUCUUACCAGACAUGGUUAGACCUGGCCCUCUGUCUAAUACUGUCUGGUAAAACCGUCCAUCCGCUGCCUGAUCACCGUUAGAGGAGAGAGCUGCCUGCCCUGCAGCUCAUCAGUGCAAAGCCGCCCGGUCUGGGGCUCUCAUGCCCCCCUCACUAUGGCCUGUGCCCAUCCGCAGCCCAUCAGUGCAAAGCCGCCGGGGUCUGGGGCUCUUGUGCCCCACCCUCGCCAUGGCCUGUGCCCACCCGGCCUCCUGGGGCCCUCGAGCUGUAGUCCCCGGGCAGAUGCUGUGGACCCCGUGCUAUCAGCCUGGCCCCUGGGGUCACAGUCACAGAUACCCGGAGCCCCACCCCACAGCCCCAGCCCCCUCGCCACCUGGGGAGGCUGAGACAGAAGCAGCUGGGCCCCCCAAAGUGCCUGAGCCCAGGGCACGGAGGAGCACAAAUGCCCAGCAGGGACAAUGUCACAGCGUCUCAGCGGCCAGGCAGCAGGACGCAGAGACCUCUGGGAGGUUCCCGGGGCCAGCCCUGGCCCUCCUCCUCCAGGGGCCAGCCGUGGGAUGCAGACCACACUCUCCCUCCAGGGCCCAUCUCUGGGGCUGAGGCGGGCGGGGCCGGUGCCCAGCUGCAAGACCAUGGGAUAGGGAAGGCAGGUGCUUGGGGCCACGCAGCCCUGCACUGGGGGCCCCUCCACCCCAGGCGGCUCACGAGGUGUCAUCUGGAGCUGUCCCCAAGCCGGGAUCUGCAGGUUGACCUCCCCCACCCGGGGCUAUCUCCAGACCCUCUUUCCUCCCUGGGGAGAUGGGGCAGUCCCCCGCAGGGCCAGCUGAAACCACCCCCAUGCUGCUGCCGCCUGAGCGACGUGUGUGGGGAAGAACUUGGAGUGCCACCCCCAGAAUGUGGCGUCCACCUCACCAGACCGCACGGGUGAGCCCUGGACUGCAAGGUGCAUAUAACACAAGGUUUGGACACACCUGGAGAGCUCGGGCCAGGCAGGGCCACACCUGUGAGCCUGAGCUCAUCCAACACCGCCCGGAGCUCGGGGACCUUCCCCAUCCCAGCACCUCCUCACCGCUGUGCCCGUCUGGCCAGUCCCUCCAAGCACCCCUCGGAUGAAGUUGCGCCCCACACUGCAGUGGGGCUCACUCUCCACAGCGCCUGCUGCGUUGCACGGGGUGUGACAGGAAGGACCCUGCUGGGGCUGGCGGGGCCGUACCCAGAGCCUCCCUGUGCGGUUUCUCCUCCUCCUCCUCCUCUCCAUAAGCACCGGGAACAAAACAGAAAAAAGUCUUUGUAUAGUAAUAAAGUCUGCAGUUCACGCACCCAUGCUUGGACCAGCUCCUUAUUUUAACCACACGUGCACAGACCCCCGCCGUGCAAAGGGCCCAGCUGAGGACAGAACCCCAGACACUGCAUCCGGCCCCGGAGGCCCCCAAGGUUCCUGGGAGAGGCUCCCUCCCUCCCUUCCCUCCUCUUUCCCUCCCCCUCCUCCUUCCUCUCCUCCAUCCCUCCUUCCCCCUCCUCCCUCCUCCUCCUCUCUCCGUCCCUCCCUCCCUCCUUCUUUUGCUCAGGAAUCUUCCCUGACUCUCCUGUGGUCAGCUCAGGUCAAGGUUCUGGGGGAAGGGGGAGUCCCUGAGUGGAGACACCUCAGCCUGUGCUGAAGGGAGCUACCGAGGGGGCAGCCGGUGGCCCUGGGGGGCCUCUCUGAGCAGGUGACCAAGAGCGUAUGGUGCCGGCCAGCAGGAGCGAGGGCUGCGGACAGGAUGGAGGCAGCCAGGCGCCAGCCAGGAGGGCUUCCUGGUCCAGCCACACCUGCCCCGGUGACAGCCACAGGUUGGUGGCAAAGGGGCCACCUCCCUUCCAGUGGCAGGGCCUGGCCUGCCUGGAGACCCCACCCACUGCCCGAGAGGUGCCAGGCCUCCCCCAUUCUGCCUGGCCCUGGGGGCUGCACCCACCUGGAC
rnacentral:lncRNA from 1 species